rnacentral:tRNA from 1 species
CGAGGUAUAGCGCAGUUUGGUAGCGCGCUUGGUUCGGGACCAAGAGGCCGUGAGUUCGAAUCUCGCUACCUCGA